rnacentral:rRNA from 1 species
CGUGUAGGUGGUUGACUAGGUUUGAUGUGAAAUCCCCGGGCUUAACCUGGGAAUUGCGUCGAAAACGGGUCGACUCGAGUGAGAUAGAGGGUUGUGGAAUUUCCGGUGUAGCGGUGAAAUGCGUAGAUAUCGGAAAGAACAUCAGUGGCGAAGGCGACAACCUGGAUCUUAACUGACACUGAGGCGCGAAGGCGUGGGGAGCAAACA